CAGCUCAGAUUUGAAAUCUGGCCCCUCUGGGGUCCGAGUUGUAAUCUGUAGAGGAUGCUUUUGGCGACGCGCCUUCCGAGUCCCCUGGAACGGGGCGCCAGAGAGGGUGAGAGCCCCGUAUGGUUGGACGCCGAACCUCUGUAAAGCUCCUUCGACGAGUCGAGUAGUUUGGGAAUGCUGCUCAAAAUGGGAGGUAAAUUUCUUCUAAAGCUAAAUACCGGCCAGAGACCGAUAGCGCACAAGUAGAGUGAUCGAAAGAUGAAAAGCACUUUGAAAAGAGGGUUAAAUAGCACGUGAAAUUGCUGAAAGGGAAGCGCUUGUGACCAGACUUGCGCCCGGUUGAUCAUCCAGCGUUCUCGCUGGUGCACUCUGCCGGGCUCAGGCCAGCAUCGGCUCUCCCAGGGGGAUAAAGGUCGCGGGAACGUAGCUCUCUUCGGGGAGUGUUAUAGCCCGUGGCGGAAUACCCUUAGGGGGGGCCGAGGCCCGCGUUCGCAAGGAUGCUGGCGUAAUGGUCACCAGCGACCCGUCUUGAAACACGGACCAAGGAGUCAAGCAUUAGGGCGAGUCUUUGGGUGUAAAACCCGCAGGCGCAAUGAAAGUGAACGGAGGUGAGAGCUUCGGCGCAUCAUCGACCGAUCCUGAUGUUCUCGGAUGGAUUUGAGUAAGAGCCUUACCGCUUGGACCCGAAAGAUGGUGAACUAUGCCUGAAUAGGGUGAAGCCAGAGGAAACUCUGGUGGAGGCUCGCAGCGGUUCUGACGUGCAAAUCGAUCGUCAAAUUUGGGCAUGGGGGCGAAAGACUAAUCGAACCAUUUGUUCAGUAUGCUACUAGGUGGUUAAGAGGUUUUAUAAAAUUAUGACCUAGUUAUUCAGUGCUAUAAGCAUUGAAUGGCGACACUGUCAAACUGUCGGGGACCGCCUGUUAGAAGUUUAGGCUACCGCUGGCCCGUCGAAAGACGUGGCUCAGCACCGGGCUUAACCGUCUGGGUAUGGUAAUAAGGUCUAAAUUAGGGCAUAUCCGCAGCCAACUCCUUAUGCUCCACGGGCGGCAAUGGAGACAGUUCACAGACUAGAUGGCAGUGGGUCUGGCAGUUAUGCCGGGCUUAAGAUAUAGUC
rnacentral:rRNA from 1 species